AAGGAAAGAGCCCCACCAUUAAACAAACAAUCUAGGAUGGAAACCUCCAAAAGCUCUAGGGGCAGCAAGAAUGACUCAGCUGGAGCACGGUGUUCUUCUGCUCGAUUCCAGUCAUGGACACCUCACUCCUUAGGGUUAGCGAGUUCCCAAUGCCCUGCAGCCUGGACUCUCUCAGUGGAACUCAGGGGAACGCAACCUCAAACCUCAUCUAUGAACCAGGCCCUCACCCUCAAAAUCCAGGACAGUGUGCAAACCCAACAGGCAAUAGCAUCCACCCAGGAGGAGGGAUAUGUUUGCACGUCUCUUGGCCCAGAUUAUCCGAGAGAACAGAGCAGUCAUAACAUAGAAGAGAACAGAGAAAAAUCAUAUGGAUUUCAGCUUUGCCAGGAUGUCGGUGAAGUCAGACGAAUGAGCAUAAACUCAUUGGAGGAACUCUCUCAAGAAGGAUUUAAUUGUUGACAAAAAUAGACGAUCGUGGGGUGUGUUCUUUCUGGCUGCAAGGAAUGAAAGACCGAACUUGCUGACGAAGAAGUGUGUUCCUGGCGAUUUGGCUUAAGGGAAUUGACACCAGCUUUCCAGGAGGAGCAGCUGUAAACACCCAGCCUCAGGAAGGAAGCUUAUGUUCUCUGUGAGAUAUCUAGGCUCUGAAACUCCACAACUUGUUUUCACCCUUAAAGAAAAAACAGAUUCUUUCCACCUAAUCCUUUUAGUAACCAACGUGAACCGUAGGAAUUUAGGCAGGAUUUUUCCACGUCUGAUUUAAAGUCGAGAGAUUGAGGACAAGGUGAAGAGAGAAUCUAGUUAAGAGAGAACGUGCAGGACAAAUAUAGCUUAAAAGGACCUGGGAUCAGUGAAAACCCGGUGUCCCUCGCGGGGCCUGACCACCCUCCCUUCAUCUGACAGAUGAACCAGCCCACCUAUUACCCAACGAAAGGCGGGCGCUGGUCCUCUCUGCCAGGUCUCUCUAGCCCCAGGCUGCCGCAGCCUGGGCUCUUCUCCCUUGUCUAACCGCGCCAGCGCCAGAAGACCUGGGUCCAAGAAUUGUGUGGAGAUAUCUACACUACCAUCGUGUGAUAUCCUAAGAAUCAGAAAUUUCUGUUGGUGACAAAGUGACAGGACUGUCAUAUGCCCACAUUCAGACGGAAAAGCUACAUUUCUUGAAGAAAUUAGUCAAGUAAAGACGUCAUUCUCCCACCCACCUUAGAUGUACGACGUUUUGCAGUGCAUGUCGCUGGAUCGCGUGGCAAGGGCUGUUCUAGGCGGUUUUGGUGACCGGCGGCCUCCAUCAAAGGCAUGGAGCACUUGGCCGGCUCUGUGGGGUCUCCUCCCGCAAAGGGGCAGGGCCCCUCCCCCUUCCUUUUCCUAGGAAACUGCGGGACACUGUUCCCAACUCCCUCCCCUGGUGAGUGUGAGAGCGUCAUGACUGCUCGUUUCUUCCCCGGAAAUCCUGUUCCUCAUAUCUGUCCUUACCAGACACACCUUCUGAGUUCAUCUUUCUUCUCCUUUUAUCCCCUCAAAAUCUUGCUCCCAUUUCUAAAUCACAUCCUUGGCCUGAGCCUGAAAAUCUUUUGCUGUUGCUCUUGUUCCUUCUAUGGUAGUUUUAGUCCUCAAGCGCUCUUGUUCUAAAGUGGUCUCCGGAUGAAGCGCCAUCCCCAGGCAUGAGGCCUAGCACCCCGCGGCCUAAACCGGGAGGGUGAUGACGUCACUUCCUGCUCAGUUUCCUGUCCUGCCAUUGGCCGGCAGGGUGGAGUGGGAGGGGAAAAGUGCGGGCAGGAGGCGGUGCGUGGGUCAGAAGGAAGUAGCAGUGAAUGACACCAGGCCAGGGGGCGGGUCUUAUGCAGAUGAGACAGGCCCAGGGGCUGCUGUUCAGACUCCCGUUGGUCACAGACUCUAUGACUUCCUGAGCCACAGGGAUGGAGUCCAGGAUGGUUGCCUGAAUUUGAGAGCAACUUCUUUGCAGAGGACCCCAGGGACUGGGGGAGGGGGUCCUAGAGACUGGGAGUGGACUGUGUAAGGCUAUAAGGCUAUGCCAGGGCAGCAGGGAACGAUGUUUCAUGCGCUGUGCCACAGAUAGCCCCCAAAUGGAGGUGCUUCCUCAGGGGUAUUGUACCUGAAAGCAAAGACCUAUACAGCCAACCAAACAAGGGCGAAGGGCUCAGCAGUUGUAGUGCAAGGCCUCUGUCCCUGGUGCUCUUUGGCAGAAUCUCCCCCCCUCCAGGGAAGGGGUCCUACUUGGAGGGCCCAGAAGAGAUUCCUCCAUCUGAGCCUUUAGUUCUUUCAGUCCCGCUUUGGCAUCUCCUCUCCUCUUGGUGCUGGAUGUUCUCAGCGCUCAGGGGGAGAAUAUUUUCUUGAAGACCACGGUUACUGCCUCUACUAUGGGGAGACACGAGGAAGAGAUGCAUUAGGCACUUAUCAAUGACCCACUUUUCUCCACAUCCAUGGGGUUGAUCUGGAGUGAGAGAAUGAUUUAAAGAGAUCAGAUCACUCAAGAGGUUCCAUCCAAACCUGGCAGCACAAAGGCAGCUCCUAAGUGAAGAGUCAGCCCUACUGUGUGGCAUGUGGAUAACUGCUUCCUUGGCCACAUGGGCCCUGGAGACGACUGUGGCGGGAGACAAGGAGAGAGACAGCCAUGAGGAAGCAGUGGGGGG
rnacentral:lncRNA from 1 species